UUUUCGUUUCUCUGGCUCAUCAGCCGCUCCUCUCUCUAGCGGCACAUACACUUACAGGACGCACACACUGCGUGGAGUGUGGGGUAGGGGCCAGGAGGCGGCCAUUCAACGCACUUGACGCUCCUCGUUUCUCUUCUUGCCGCUCCCCACCACUGCAACGAAGGCGAACCCACACACCCACACACAUACACACCAGCAACAGCAGACAUGCACGCAGGUGAGACGGACGGCAAAGAGUAACGCGACCGUUUUUGUUCUCCGUUUGGAAGGCAAGCGAAGAGGGAGCUCGCACGCACAAGCAAAUUGGGUGUGAGCGGUGCGUGUGUCCUUGCCCCUCUGGACGCCAACGCCGACAGUACUUCAUUGUCCUUUCUCCGUCACUGCCCCGCAGCCACCCUUCUCUCGUCCCUGCACUCACCGCUCACCACCAGCUGCCUCCCUUUGUCUUGGUGCCUUCAACUGCCCUUGCUCAUCUUCUGCUCCCUUCACACACACGCGCAUCCCGCACCCACCCACCUCACUUAUCGUUCUCGCCGACUUCCUGCUGCAUCUUCGUAUACUUAUUGCUUUCAUGUGCUACUCAGAGGCCUCCGUGGAUCGUUUCAAGUGUUUUUCCUUUUCUCUCGUCGGUCUUUCUCUCUUGUGUUUAUACGUUGGGUGCCACAAUCUCGCUGCCUCACCGCUCGCCGUUUCCUCUCUCCUCGACAGACACACCGCGCAGGCACACACACACACAUACACCUCCACCCUCUACGUACCUUGUGUACAGCGCUCAUACUCGUGUCUGGUUUCGUUUCUCUGUUGUAGCGCUUGUCUCUCGCGCUCCCUCGCCCAUCAUCAUCUCCUCCGCAUCUGUGUGAGCAUUUUGGGACCAGCGACCGCUGCCGCCGCUGCUGUGACUGCCAUCCUUCCCUGGCCUGUUGCCCUCAUCCCCCUCUCCGUGCGAGAGAGUGCGGCAGAAGGGUAUCUAGGGGCUGCCUCUCUGCCCUCGCCUUGCAUCUCUUGCGGGCACGUGACCCUCUAUAGUCUCUGCCUCCCUCGCGCACUCCGGACGCGGCUCCGUCGAAUUUUCGAGACAGGGACUCAGCAGCACACGUGCGCGCGAGUGAGACUCACGGGUUACGAAAAGCGGGACUUGUGAGCCGAUACACAUAUAUAUAUAUGUAUAGGGAGAGGGGUACACACAGCAGCAGUUGGGGCCGCCGCCGCCGCCGCAGCAGCAGCAGCGUCCGCGGCCACGUCUUAUCUCCGUGUCUGUUCCCUAGUACCCCUCCCCCUCGCUUCCUCUUCCAUGGAGUACUUCUACAGGACAAACGCGGCGGAGCUCACGCUGCUGAAGGCGGCGCUGGUGAACCUGGUGUCGUCAUGCUUGAUGAGGGAGCCGCCUUUUGAGGCGGCACGGCCUGGAAAGCUCCCCGUGAUCACGGCUCCCGCCACACGUUCCCCGACGGCGGAUGAGGAUGCGGUAGAUGUAGCGCCGGCGCCAGAGAACGACGGUGCGUCUACGGUGGCACAGAUGCGUGAGCUGGUGCAUCUCAUCUCCCGCCAAGAUGGCGAGUUUGUGUUAAAACUGGCCCUCUACGUUCGCCACGAACUGCACCUGCGCCGCUCACCGAGCUUCCUCGUCGCGCUCUGUGCCAGAGAGCCGAACUGCAUUCCGUUUCUGCAGCCGUACAUGGAGAAGAUUAUCGUGCUUCCGUCUGAUUGGCUGGCGGUCGCUAACUUUGCGUACUUCCACGACUGCGACGCCGCCCACGACUACGCCGGAACGCUGACGUACUCGGUAAAGACUGAGCGCGAGGCUCACGCGACCGCGUCUGCCGCCCCCAGUGCUGAAAAGCGUUCCACAAGCUCUACUGGCACGCGCAGUCCCGAACCUUCGGCCGUCGAAGCACGCAGCGGCAGCAGUGUCGGCUCCCAAGGUGCAAACCCGCUAGCCAGUAGGAUGGGCGCGAAGGCGAGGGGUGAUCGCCACCAAGGCGCGGCAGCCCGCGACCCAACACGCUCCUACAUCCCCUCGGCGCUGCGCAGCGCCCUAGUGAGCACCUUCGCGAAGUUCUCCGUCUUCUCCAUGGCCAAGUAUGACAACGAAGCGGCAGAGCACCGCGCCAAGCGGCGCCAGAUCAGACGUGACCGCGCUGCCGCCGAGGUAGCUGUGGUCACGUCGAGCAUGACUGACCCAGAUGAGUCAAGCGCCGCCGGCACCCGGCCUUCCGCGCUGCCGUGUCGAGCCCGCCCGCAGACCUUUACCUUUAAGCAGCUCAUUCGCAUGCUGCACAUCACUGAACCAGCGUACAUUGUGUGCUGCCUCCUGGGCAAGCGCUACCCGACCAACGAGGAUGACUUCCGACGCAUGCGGCUACAUCUCACCGAUCCCACAUGGAAGAAUGCGGCACCGCUCAAGACAGGGGCCACAUCCUCGGCAAAAGGCGUCCACUCCGCGAAGCACACCUACGGUCGUGCUAUCCUUGGCGGUGGCGGCGGUGAGGGCGAGGACGAGGACGAGGACGCAGAUGAUAGCCACCAGGACAAUGCGGAGCUGCCCUUUUGCGUCUUCGACGCGCGCCGCGCCGGACAGCGCAUGCACCUUCCCGUGCCAGCGACUUGGGAGACUCAGCUGUCCAAAGAGGGCAACACCGGCCGCGUCUGGGACGCGUUGAUCUCGUCCGACGCCGUGCCGUACAUGGCCCUUCUGCGCAACCUGCGGAACAUACUCACACGUCUGUGCUCGGCCUCGACACACAAGCGCGUGCUGGAGAAAUUAGUCGAUGAGCAGCAAGUCGCCGCCAGCCAGCAGCUUCCCUAUCGCUUCUACAGCGCUUAUCUGGCUGUGCGGCAGAUCGACACAUUGCUGGUGCACCUCGACGCGCUGCGUGCAGUGACUCGAAAGGCCCGCUUCAGAAAAGAGGUGGUCUCCGAAAGGGGCCAUGGUGGUCGUGGUGGCGGUGGAGGGGGCCGCGCCGCCGUCGCAUCGAAAUUUGCUGCCGGGGCCGUUCACGAGACGAUGAGGGAGGCGGCCAAGAGAUUUGAACGCCCGUUGGUGCCGCGCUCGUAUCUGCGCCGGUACGUGGUGCAGUACUGCGCUGCGCUCGACGCCGCUAUCAACACUUCGGCGCGGCUGAACGUGGUACCAAUGAAAGGGACGUCCAUCGUUAUUAUCUGUGUCACAUCUGCCUUGUUCGAGCCCAUGUCCGCGGUGGGCGGGACCGCGACAACACCGGCGUCGAGCCAGCGCAAGGUGGAUGUAACAGCGCUGCUGGUGGCCAUGCUCAUGCGUAGCUGCGAGCAGUGUGUGGUGCUGAUCUACUGCUACGACGAGUACGUUGUAUUUCGGGAGAACGACCCGGAUGUGGAGAGGACCGCGCUGCAGGGGAUGUAUGACGAGGACGUUGGCAGCCCCAGCAGUUGGGACACGGAAAGCGGCAGCAGCAGGGGCAACGACUUCGAGAACGACGGUGCAGUCGACGGAGACUUCGAGGCCAUGUCCAACCCUCUCCACAGGGCGACCGCCACGACCUCACAAAAAGGUGCGCCAGGGUUGAUGGGCCUCGUGAGCUCACUCACCGCACGUUGCUCCUCGCUGCUGGAGCGGAAGCGGGAGGAGGUCGGUCCCGAUGGCGUCGCAACUUCCUUCGUCAUGUUCGCGGAUGCAACGGGUGCGCAGUUUCCGUACGCAUUCCUUGACGAGGUCAUCGAGCGCAACAUGCGGAUCGAAUCUCUGCUUGUGUUUGACGAGGGUGUACAUCGCACCUACGCCAACAUGAACCGCAACGCCCCCGCGUUUGGUGACCUGCCGACAUACCUGUCACGGCUGCGGCGGACAUGCAGCCCCGACUUGGUGUACGUCGGCGUGAACUUGAAAGCCUCCAGCCCUCCUGCUGCGGAGGGGGUCGGCCAGGUUCCAGGGGCUACGGUUUUUCCGGUGACAGCAUCAGCUGCGGGCGCGCCGGCGCACAGGAAGCGAGGGCAGGUGUCGGAGCCCGCGGCCAAGAGCGGUGCCACAGCUGCCUUUCAGAAGGCAGAGGUGGAACGGCGCUUUGGCCACCGCAACGAUGUCCUUCUCACCGGGUUCAGCGACUCCAUCUUGCGCCUCGUGGCGGAGCGGACCGGCGGCGGCCCGCUCGCGGUGAUCGAGCGAGCGGCGGAGACCUACCACGUGUCUCGCCUCUCUGCGCGUGCUAGUCAAGCGGCCUGGGAGGAGCGCGUCAAGGCACUGAAGGUGCUGGCGGCGCUACGAGAGGGCCAUCAGUCGCACAUCGGUGGCGGCGGCGGCUCGCUAGAAGCACUGCAUGACCCGGGUGCCUUCCCCUUCAACGACUACCUCAAGCCGCCCACGCAAUCCAGCACCGCCACGGCUUUUCCCAUGCAGAGCUCCUCGCUCCCGAGCACAGCGCGUCCACUGGUGGCGGAAGCGAUGACCGCGCCUGCGGUGGCGCUGCCUUUCUUCGACAGUGAUGGAAAGGCAGUCUCCGCAAUAGGACGGAACUGGGAUUGCAGCUCACGCAGCAGUGAUCGGCGACUACAGUGGCUGACGAGUCGCAUCGCUGGCCUCUCCUCGUCGACCGGCGAUGCGGAGACGCCAUCGAAGGGUCGCACAGCAUUGCCAAGCAUACGUCGCCUACUCGCCAAGCCGUCGCUCUCUGAGUCUGAAGCGGCAACGCCCAGCGCCAGCGGCGCGAAGAGCAGCGUCGGCGAGGCGGUAGACCCCGCGCCUCACUGGGGUUCCGGUGAGGCCCGAGAGAGCGAGCCAGCGUGGCUGGCCGCCGAGGGCAAAAACGUGUCGUCUGUCUUCCACCCACAGCCGUUCAUCUCGAUCUUGAAGCUCUUCUCCAUGUCGUCGAGCAAGCACGGCGACAGCACCACGGCGUCUGCGGCCGGCGAUGCCGCAUCUGCUGCUGCCUCUGCCACUGCAUGCGCUGCUGCCACGACGACGCUCACGAAAACAGCGGCCACCAAAUCCGUGGCUCGGCACCGCCUGCAGGGUCCCGCAAGCCACCCGCUGUCGCCCACCGCGUCGGCGGUGGUUCGCCGCCUUAUCACUUCCUACCGCGUGUGCCGCUUCUUCAUCUCCAGCACGUUUCUCGACAUGAACAACGAGCGCAACGCCAUCACGCUCGACAUCUUUCCGCGGCUGCGGCGGUGGGCUGCCGAGGCGGGUCUGAAGGUGACCUUGCUGGAGGUUGAUCUGCGCUGGGGCAUUCCUGCCCUUGCGACAAGUCGCAACCUCUCCACUUCCGUCUGCCUUAACGAGGUGUCGCGGUGCAGUCCGUUUUUCAUCGGCAUCAUCGGCGCGCGCUACGGCACGAGCCCGCCGACACCGCUUCAGGUCGUGGUCGACGAGGACGUGGAUGCCGAGGACUACGCCUGGAUGCGGGAGCUUUCGGACCCGCACGUGUCUGUGACGGAGCUCGAGAUGCGCCACGCCAUCUACAACACGAAGCGCCGCGUCGGCUGCGACGAGGCCCCUUGGUCGGCGCUCUUCUUCGCUCGUGAUUCGCCACACCUCCUUUCCUCGUUCGGCCCAGCAGACACGGCGUGCCGCGCCGUCUAUGAGGCCGACUCAGCCACCGCUACCGAGGCGAUCGAAUGCCUCAAGCAGCGGAUCACAGAGAACGGAUGCAAACUUGUUUCCUACCAGGCGGCGUACAUCAACCCCGCGAAGACGCUCCUGCCAAGCAACAGUGGGCCCGGCAGCGGAGGCGCGCCGCUCCUCGCUGGAGGCUCCACCCGAUCUGCCGCCAUGUGCAGCGGCGCGCGCGCGAUGAUGGAGGAUGGCCUGGGUAGGUGGGCGGUGCGAAGCCGCCACGGCUUCGGUGACGGCACUGGCCAAGCCGCCUCUUCUGCCAGCGGUAAGACAAGCGAGGCGGACUCGCUCGGGGCACUCGUACAGGCCCGCAUCACCGAGUCGGGGGAGCCAAAGAGAUUGACGUCGAUAGACGUAGCGAUCGAUAUGGCGGACUUCUCUAGCAAGGUGUUUCAUGAGUUGCAAGAGGUCAUCUGCCGCGUAUGCGGCGUGCAUCCGGUGCUCGACGACAGCGCAGCGGAAAAACAGCGGCGGCAGCACGCUGACGCGUGCGUGACGGACGCUCAUGGGCCAGAGAAAAACGCAGAGGCGCGUAGGUGUGCGAGAAGCGCAAGAUCGGCAAUAUCAGCAAUCAGAGGGGCAACGACUGCCGAGGCGCCUGACAUGUACGAGAUGCUCGUGGUGGCACAGAGCGAGUUCGCGCGCAAGCUGAGCGACUUGUACGCUGCGCCGCGUGGACUCCUGGAGCAGCUCUCCAGCUUCGCAUUGAACGGCAUCCUUGGGGUCACAGACGAGAGCGACGUGCCGAGCGAUGCCGGCGCGGAGAGGCAGAGGGGUGCCGCGCCGCACGGCACCAAGCGCCAAGAGUUCGUGACACCGAUCCCCUCAUCCGAGAGCGGUUACGACAGCUGUCCGGUGCGAGGCUUCUCGCCGCUCCCGCCGCCGCAGCGCGCGCAGCAUGUCAAGGAUAGCGCGAGCAGCGGAGAAGGGACUCCGUGUCAGCCGCUCGUCGCUCGUGCAGGUGUGCCGGGGGGCGGCACGAGCUCCAUCCUACUCUUGGAAGGCUGCGACGGGGACGGAAAGUCGUCGGCGCUGGCGGCGUUAACAGCGCUAGUUCUCGAGCCGAUGCGCAAGGCGUCCGCGUCGGAAGCAACGCCGCGCUUCCUAUUUUACUCUACCCAGGCAGAAGACGACUCGGUACGUGGCCUGCUUCUGUUCCUCGCGAAGUCUCUCCGCAUCUUCUUCCAGCUGUACGGCGAAGUCUCGGUGCACGACACGGACGCCGUCGAUGAACUCCUCCUGAUGCUGGAUCACGCGUACGCCGCGAUUCAUCGCCACUUCGAGACAUCCAGCGGCGACGCCGGCACGGCGACCACCGCAAGAGGAGGAAGGGGCGCAAAUGGCGGUCGGAGCGCCGCCGGCCGAGCAGCGGCGGGAGCGGGUCACGCAGCUCUUGUGGUGGUGCUGGACGGCCUCGACAAGUCCUCCGAGGCGGCAGAGUUGGUCAGUCUUCUGGGAACGAUUUUGCAUCCGCUGGCCACGCAGCACAUCCGCUUUGUGGUGUCCGCGUGCCCGCGGUCGUCGCUGGCCCGCGCGCUGCGCACGCGUACCCCACCAGCCCACGUACUCACCGUGCCCAUUUUGAGUGAAGGUGAGCGGGCCGAGCUGGUGCGGUUGCACCUCGCGAACUACGGCAAGGUCCUGGAGGAGUCCUUUACGGCAGAUGAGCUGAAGAAUCUGCUGCGCAAGAGCGGCGCCGGCCGUCCCAGCUACCUCAUCUCCGCGAUCACGCACCUUCGCCUCUUCAGCACCUUCGACACGCUUCGCGAGGACAUCCGCUUACUCCCGGCGUCGCGCGCCGCCCUGCACGAGCAGCUCUUUCAGCACCUGCAGGCCCGCUUCGACCCCGCCACGUGCCGCGUCGUGCUCAGCAUUUUGCUGUUGCGCCAGCCUGUUGGUGGUGUGCUGGAGUUCAACCUUUACCGCCUCGUGUCGGACGUCGCCGCGGCGUCGCGGCUGGUGACGCUGCUGCGGGGCAUCUGCCUUGACACGCAUCACGGGCGCCUGUUCAUCAAGUCGUCGACCUUCGUCGAUGCCGUCGCGCGCAGAUUUUUCCGCUUUGCGUCCGAUUACCAGUGCGUGCAGGAACGCGUUCUUCUGGCUGAGCUGUGCUACCAACCCGUAGAUGUCUCCCUCGAUGAGCAGGAGGUGAAGAUUGGCCUGCGCCACGUCACAGAGUCGAUCCGGCGCAGUGCAGCGAACCCGCUCACGCGGCGCACUUUUGUGCCGGAGCGCUACGCGCCUCGGGAACUUCUUGGGGUGCUGCAAGGGUCGGUGCAGGCGUGUCGGCUUGAUGUGACGGCCGCAUUGGCGUGCUACCUGCCGUUUCUGGAAUGCCUGCUGGUGAGUCGCCGCAUGCUAUCGCAGCUGAUCGGGUUGCUGUCCUCCGUCGUCAGCGCAACGACGUCCGCGUCGUCCUUGGCACCUGGCGCACCGACUUCUACGGGGGCGUUACAUGCAGAGGACGACGCGGACGCAGAGGACAGCGGCAGCGUCCACCCGUUGGCGAGCUACCGUGCACUGGCGCUUCAGUGGCGGCACUACCGAAGCGACAUUCAGCGUCUCGGCUACGUGCUGGAAAUUUUGCAGAAGAACUAUCACGUGCUCCUGCGCCAGCCUGCGCUGCUGCGUCAGUGCGUGUGGAACACGGUCGGGUCGGCGAUGUGCAUCAGUGCCUACGAUGCAGCCUUGACAGCGCGCCUGCAGCAUGCAUUGAAUCGAAUGACUACCACCAAUAAAAGCACCGCCUCUUGCGAAGUGCAGGUGGGCCCGCAAGGUGAAGGUCGGCGCUCUGAGGAUGCCGUGCCGCACAGCCCUGCAGCGCGGUCCCCCGACAUGCCCACUUUCUCCGCGCUCUCCACGAUGUGGGUUCACUGGCUGAAUGCGCGGCAGCACGGCGGCGAGGGUCGCUUGAUGCUCACGACUGCCUCCACGCAGUCGAUACGCUGCAUGGCGAUGAGCCCGGAUGGGACGGAGGUCGCUGUUGGCGGCGAUGACGGCAUUCUGCGCCGCAUGUCAGCGGACGAGGGCGAGCAACAGCAGCUGCAGCAGUCACAACUGACGCCAAAGGAAACGGAGAGCGCAGGCGGUGCCGGCGUUGUGGGACGGCGUCGUGUGGCAUCGAUGCUGCGGCAUGAGUCCGCCGUCACCUCUGUGCUGUACGUGACCACUCGCACUGCCGGCGGUCCAACAGCAGGCACCAACGGCACAGGCGCAUCGGCUACCCUGGCAGCGCCUACUGGGGUGGCACAGCUACUUGUUUCGGGGUGUGCUCGCGGCCUCUUGUACGUGUGGAGCCUUGAAGACAACUCUCUGCUGCAACGCGGCACUGGCCACCUUCGAGCCAUCAGCGGGCUUGUGUGCCAUCCGCUGGAGCCGUUGGUGCUGUGCUCUUGCAGCCACGACUCGUUUGUCAUGCUCUGGGGCGUCGACACUGCAGAGGCCACGCCGAGGCUGUGUAGCGAGGUCCAGGCCGCGUUGGCCCUGCGCAUGCCCAAGCACCCGGCCGGCUCUGCAGCGCGGCACCAGCAAGAGCGGCUGCACCAAAGGACGAGGGAGGAGAAGGGUAACGGCGAGCUGUGCGUUGGCGGUGGUGGCGCUGGGCCAGCUGUGAUGCGGCGGGGUACCCCUGGGUCGAGCAACGGCAUCCGCAGUAGGCAGACGCCGCUCCAGGCAUCGCUCACGCCGUUCCACACGGAGCGGCAACACCACACCCCUGUCGCAGCGGUUGCCUUCCAUCGCUCUGGCGACAUCUUCGCCAGCGGCAGCUGGGAUGGCGUUCUUGUGCUGCACGACACCCGUGAACUACGCACACCAUCGCCUGUGAUUACGCCAGAGAUGAAGGUCCCAUGCGAGCCAACGAAUCAGACCCGCCUCACGAGUCGGCGGUCACGCCGUGCCAAGGUGGUCUGGCGUACCCGACGCGGUCCAGAGCGUCGGCAGGUCACAUUUCAGUCGACGGAGUUUGCGUUGGGCUCAUCGGUGCGCGCGCUUUCUUUUUCGAACUCGCUCGCCGUCACCUGCGUUGUUGGCUGCCACAAUGGCACCGUGGUCGUGGUGGACCACGCCUCUGCGGCGGUGGUGGCGCGGUGGACAUCGCUGCACUCCGCGCCGGUUACGCGGCUCACCGCAUCGUUGGACGGCCGGUGCAUGGCGUCGGCCGACGAGCACGGCGUUGUGCGCUUGACGCACACCGGCAUCACGGGAUCGGUCUUUGCCACCUUCAACGGUCACCAUGGCGCUGUCACCGGCUUGUGCUUCCGUCCACCGCGCGCAGGCCACGGCGAGGACGUCGCUGGUGGCGCCGAUGCCCUGCAAGCGCCUCCAGCGUGGUUGCUCACCGCUGGCGAGGAUCGUACGUUGCAGGCAUGGCGAGUGGACAGCAGCGGCAGCGGCGGCUUCAAGACGCAGACGGCCAUGUCGAGGCGCCGUCUGAUCGCCGCGCACUGCACGGCGGUGACGGCGGUGGCGUCGUCGCGCGACGGCCAACUGAUCGUCACCGGCUCCGCAGACGGAACCGCGAUCGUGUUUCGGGUGCCAGAGGAGAUCGACGAUGAUGAAGACAUCGCCUGCAGGGGGGCACGUGGGGCGGCAAUGGGCAGGGACUAUGCUGGCACCGCCGCAUGGGAUCGACCGAAAGCGGUGGGAAAGAAAGCGCGUUCGGACUCCUCGAAGGCGGCGGGCAACGUGCAGACGACGCUUCCGCUGAAGCCGGCCUUCACGCUAAGGCACGACGACUGCCGUAUUACCCGCAUCUGUCUCGCACUGCGCGACACUCGAAUCGUUGUUGGUGUGGUAUUCGGCCUUGUGUACGUGUGGUCGUCGUCUCCAGGGCUGAACCAGGUGGAGGGGCGCCUGCUGCUUCGCGUUCGCGUGCCGGAGCAUGGCUUGUACCCCGUCAUCUCGCUGAACAUGGUGGAGCGGUGUAGUGCGGCUGCGAUGAACGGCAAUCGAGGGCUAGCCGAGGUCCGCAAGGGCGGAAUCGCCCAGCAAACCCGGGGCGCAGAGACGACAUUGCCGCACGCGAACCCACUGCAGCCAGCGCACACGCACACACGCAGCAGCGCUGCCACCGCCGCCAUCGUCGCGUCUCCUCCGACGGAGAAGGAGGAUGAGAGCAGCACACUCGUGACAGCCGUGUGCGCCAACGGCGACGUGGCCAUCUUCAAGCUGCUUGGCGACGCUGCCUCACUCGUUAUGGCAGCUGACCAGGCACGCCGUCGACAGCGCCAGCAACGUCACCAGAUCCGUGCCAGCUACUGCGCCACUGGCCUCGCCGAUGGCGUCUUCCCGCGAAGCAACAGUGCCAGCUACGCAAGCAGCGCGGACACGUUGGAGCGCUCCGCGGAGGACGUUGGCGUUGCGAUGGCAACGUCGGCAAGCAAGAGCCUCACCUGGGUCGAGCGCGUGGAGAGUGGAGGUGAGGGUGGUGGGGUAGCACCCCGUGCAGGCAGCGCCGCCACCGCCUCCAAUUCAACGCCACGCGUGCGAGAAGCAGGCCCCGCUGCAUCGCAGGUGGGACGGUGGCGGCCCCUGCCACCGACAACGGACUGCACUGCGCGUGGCCGGGGUGGUGCCCCCGUCGCUGCAAGUGCGACGCCCGCACCGCAAGCAGUGACCUUCGAGGCUCCGCGGCGUUGUCGGCAGGCACUCGAUCGGCGCGCCCGAAAGCUUCAGCGCCUGCUGUCUCGCUGUCGUGCGACAGAGGUCGAGCUGUGCAGCAGCUUUCGGCUGCACCUGCAUCGGCAUCAACUGCACUGGGCAAAUGCGGCGGACGCAGAGGAAAUCACGAGCGUGGUGUGGCUCAACGCGCAGAACCCGCAUCUCUCCCUGCCGGGCGACGCGACAGAUGCGUCUGCUGCAGUGUUGGCAGAUGCGCUCGAUGGAGAGCACGGCAGGCUUGCCCUCGUUGUGGCACAGCGACAGCUGUUCCUGCUCUCUAGCAACGGGCAUGAGAGCGCCUUAAGCGGGUGUCUUACUGUGCGCGUACCGUCGCGCCUCCCUGGCAGUGCCUCGGUGCUGAAAAGUGCCAGCGGUACAAUGCCGAAAAAAGGAAUGGCUGUUGGGGCGCCGGAGCGGGGGGCCAGCGGUGAUGGAACGAACGUAGAGGGCAAAGUAGCGCCUCCAGAAGCCGUAGAGGCCACGGCGACAGAGGAGUUUGAGGUGGACCUCGGCGACCUCCUGCGCGACGACGAGUACUUCACGUCUUCCAGCUCAGCUGUCGCAGUUGCGCCACCGGCACCAUCGGCGGCGACGGCAGUGGCGCUGCGCUGGUUUGCGGUCGCCGUCACCACCAGUCAAGGCGAAGUUUUCCUCCUUCGCGUGCAAGUGCCGCAUGAUCAUGGAAAACACAUUGACACUCUGGGCUUACCGACAACGCCGUUCACUGGCUCUGGAGCGAGGCCGCCAACGGCCGCCUCGCACCACCUGAACACCAACAUUCUUCCCAGGACCAGCAUUACACUGUGCCGACGACUGAGCUUCACUGGCUCCAUCGCCAGCCAGGCAGCCGCAGCAGAAAUGGACGGGGCCGAGGGCGGCACCAGCGGUGCCGCACUUCACCGCGUUACGGCCGCGCCUCGUGCAACAAGCGUUGAGCUGUGCACGCUGCCGCACGAGCUGGGAACGUCGCUUGACGCCAGCGCCGCGUCACUUCCCUUGGACGCGGCCGCAACAGCGAUGGAGAGAGUGGCGCUGCUCGCAGGCUGCACUGACGGCUCGACACGGGUGUGGCUAGCGGCGACGCCUCCUCUAGCGCCGCACUCUCGCCGUGCGCCUCCAGCUGGUAUCGAGAUGGACGAAACCCCUGCGCGGUCGCGCAUUGGUGGCGCCAGUGACGUCUUUAUCGGCUGCUUUUAUUGUACCAACAGCGUCACCGUUGUCUCCGGCUUGCUGAACUGCAGCGUGCAGCGCGCCAGUGGCAGCGGAGUAUCAGCACUGGUACCAUCCUCGCGGUGGAUUGUGGGUGACACCCUCGGCAACGUCUAUCAGCUCCAGCUGGAGCGAGACCCCCCUGGUGGUGUGGCCGCUCUGCUGAGCAACUCACGUGACAUGCUGACCGCGGCCGGCGGCGGCGCGAGGAGCGGCAAGGCAGAGGUGCGAAUGACCCGGUUCCCGGCAGAAAACAUCCAUGUGGAGCCGUGGGCUCGGUCGCUUCAGCGGUUGAUCACCAUGAUGAGUAGCGCCCCGCCUGCUUCGGCGGCAGGAGCAAUGCAGACGCCCGGUGCCAGCGAUAGUGCUGAUGAGGGUUCUCUGACCGGUGGUCGCACGGCGGCCAGCGAGGCUGUCGGCACCCUGGCGUGGCCCGGGUGGUCGUCGCACUCACCGGAGGAUUGGUUGGCGCCGGUGGAUGUCUCGUCAGUGCUGCCAACGCUGCUGAGGCGCGCUGCGUCAGCGACCGGCGCCAGAGCGGAUGCAACCUCCGAAUGGCGAAGCACGAACGGCAAGCCGCAGGCAGCAAUGCUGUCUUCUUCCGUCGGCGCUGCGGUUCGAACUCCGGGGACCGGCGACUCAACUCUUCAGCUUUCGACCGCCGCCCCGUUUUGCUCGGACCUUGUCAGUUUCCCGCCCGUGGAGUGGUCGUGUCUCCCUGAUCUGCCCUCGGUGCAGCGGGUAAGUGCUGCUGUCGCUUCCAGCGCAACAGGCGGUGCCGCCGAGGAUGUAACUGUGCGCGGUUCUGACGGGCCUGCUCACUUGGCAUGGCUGGGCAGCUUCGGACUCUCCUCUCCGCCCAUAGCGCUGCCGUCUUUCGCGACCGAACCGCGCGCGACCCGGAGCGUGCUGGAGCGCCAAGGUGUCGAUAAUGACGGAGGAGAGUUCGCGGCGGCGCAGAGUUUUCAGGUGCCACUGAGGAGUCUCUUGGCAAGGUAUCGUUCGCAGGGGGCGGAUACGGACAGCGGCACUCCAGCGAGCUGGAGCGGUGAGACGGCGGCGGCGGUGAAGCUGCCAAAACGCGGCAAAGAAAAUCCCACUGUGCAUGUUGAGGAGCCAGCCGUGCCGCCGCCCAGCCAGCUGCUAACGCAAGACGACCGCCCGCACCACCCCAUCAACGCCGACGACGAGGACGAGGAAGACUAGUUUGCCGUCCUGUACAAGGCAGAGCCACUGAUGUCGCAGUCUCCGUGCGCCGGUGGCGCAGAGGCAAGGCGUGCCUGGCUAAUUCACCAGCAAGAGGUACUGAGUGAGGCGAUGCGCGUGCAGCGAUACAGCAAGCUGACACGACGGGUGCUGGAGGCGUACCAGCGGUGCACGGCUACCGCGAUGGGGCUCUGAGAAGUUGAGCACAUACAGUGGCUGCCGUCACCAAAAAAGUGCGACGGGUGCCGGCACCACGCGAUGCACAGGAGUUGGGGGUGAGGGUAGGCGGAGUGGUGAUGGCAUACGCACAGGCUCGCACGUAGGGAUGGAGCCAGCAGAAGUGAUGCAAGGCGCCGAGGGGCAAUCUGCCGACCCGAUGCGUGAGGAUGCGCGCCAUCGACACUGAGGGAUUAGCGAUGGUGCACCCGGCAGUGACACUCAUGAAGUCCUCGUGGUGGCAUCCACACGGACACCCCAGGCGCCAUAUCAGGCCCCCCGAAGGGGCAGCAAGAAGGUUCAAUGCAAGUUGGAAGCGCAACGGCGCGCUGGCCAAGGAGCAAGACCGACAGGGAGAAGAAACGAGCGAGACGGAAAAACAAAGUAGUGCCAGUGCUGCGCCUCUGAGCAGGCAGCGCUGAGCUCAUGUGAGUUGCUGGCACGUAUACAUAUCGGUGCCGCUGCCUUCUUACUAAGGGUAUUUUGGGUGGCGAGUCCAGCGAUGGAAGGAGCCAUACCCUCGACCUUCUCGCGAUCUUCUUUCCUCUGGCUGUGCGCGUGUGUGCGCCUUGUUAUGCGUAGGAUGUCCCCC
rnacentral:misc_RNA from 1 species